rnacentral:rRNA from 1 species
AAUUUUGGACAAUGGGGGCAACCCUGAUCCAGCCAUCCCGCGUGUGCGAUGAAGGCCUUCGGGUUGUAAAGCACUUUUGGCAGGGAAGAAAAGGCUCUGGCUAAUCCCUGGAGCUGCUGACGGUACCCAAGGAGGAAGCCCCGGCUAACUACGUGCCAGCAGCCGCGGUAAUACGUAGGGGGCAAGCGUUGUCCGGAAUUAUUGGGCGUAAAGGGUGCGUAGGCGGCCUUUUAAGUCAGAUGUGAAAGACCACGGCUUAACCGUGGGGUUGCAUUUGAAACUGGAGGGCUUGAGUAUCGGAGAGGGUAGUGGAAUUCCCAGUGUAGCGGUGGAAUGCGUAGAUAUUGGGAGGAACACCAGUGGCGAAGGCGACUACCUGGACGAAAACUGACGCUGAGGCACGAAAGCUAGGGGAGCAAAC